GACGAACGCUGGCGGCGUGCCUAAUACAUGCAAGUCGAACGCAGUGGGGACGGGUGAGUAACACGUGGGUAACCUCCCAUCAGAGGGGAUAACACUUGGAAACAGGUGCUAAACCGAUACUGAUGGAUGGACCCGCGGUGCAUUAGCUAGUUGGUGAGGUAACGGCUGCCCAAGGGCACGAUGCAUAGCCGACCUGGGAGGGUGACCGGCCACACUGGGACUGAGCCACGGCCCAUACUCCUACGGGCGGCAGCAGUAGGGAAUCUUCGGCAAUGGACGAAAGUCUGACCGAGCCAAGGCGCUUGAGUGAAGAAGGUUUUCGGAUCGUAAAAAGCUGUUGUUAGAGAAGCGGUAUCUAACCAGAAAGCCACGGCUAACUACGUGCCAGCAGCCGCGGUAAUUC
rnacentral:rRNA from 1 species